rnacentral:rRNA from 1 species
ACGGGUGAGUAAAGUGUGGGUAAUUUGCCUUCCAGAGGGGGAUAACCCGGCGAAAGCUGGGCUAAAACCGCGUAACAUUCGGAUGAUUACGGUCAUUUGAAUCAAAACAUGGGGAAUCGCAAGAUCCUAUGGCUGGGAGAUGAGCCCACAUCCUAUCACGCUUGUUGGUGGGGUAAAGGCCUACCAAGGCGACGACGGGUAGCCGGCCUGAGAGGGUGUCCGGCCACACUGGAACUGAGACACGGUCCAGACUCCUACGGGAGGCAGCAGUGGGGAAUUUUUCGCAAUGGGCGCAAGCCUGACGAAGCAACGCCGCGUGGAGGAUGAAGGCCCUCGCGGUCGUAAACUCCUGUCUAGCGGGACGAAGGUAUUCCAGAGUAAUACGUUGGGAUAUUGACUGUACCGCUGGAGGAAGCUCCGGCCAACUCCGUGCCAGCAGCCGCGGUAAUACGGAGGGAGCAAGCGUUACUCGGAAUUACUGGGCGUAAAGGGCGCGUAGGCGAUCCGAUAAGUCUAGUGUGAAAGCCCCGUGCUUAACGCGGGAAGUGCACGAGAUACUGUUGGAUUUGAGUUCCGGAGAGGAAGA